rnacentral:rRNA from 1 species
GAUGAACGCUGGCGGCGUGCUUAACACAUGCAAGUCGAACGAAGCAUUUGCGACAGAUUUUUUCGGAAUGAAGUUGCUUAUGACUGAGUGGCGGACGGGUGAGUAACGCGUGGGUAACCUGCCUUGUACUGGGGGAUAGCAGCUGGAAACGGCUGGUAAUAACGCAUAAGCGCACAAUGUUGCAUGACAUGGUGUGAAAAACUCCGGUGGUAUAAGAUGGACCUGCGUCUGAUUAGCAAGUUGGUGAGAGAACAGGCCACCAAGGCGACAAUAAGUAGCCGAGCUGAGAGGGUGACCGGCGACAUUGGGGCUGAGACGCGGCACAGACUCCUACGGGAAGCAGGAGUGGGGAAUAUUGCAAAAUGGAGUAAACUCUGAUGCAGCGACGCCGCGUGAGUGAAGAAGUAAUUCAUUAUGUAAAGCUCUAUCAGCAGGGAAGAUAGUGACGGUACCUGACUAAGAAGCUCCGGCUAAAUACGUG